CCUUGGGUGGAACAUACACAGGUGCUGCAUGGCUGUCGUCAGCUCGUGCUGUGAAGUGUCGGGUUAAGUCCCUUAACGAGCGCAACCCCUAUCGUUAGUUACUAACGCGUUAUGGCGAGGACUCUAGCGAGACUGCCGGUGUCAAACCGGAGGAAGGUGGGGAUGACGUCAAGUCCUCAUGGCCUUUAUGCCCAGGGAUGCAAACGUGCUACAAUGGUACGGACAAAGCGAUGCGAUACCGCGAGGUGGAGCAAAUCGCAAAAACCGUGCCCCAGUUCGGAUAGCAGGCUGAAAUUCGCCUGCUUGAAGCCGGAAUCGCUAGUAAUCGCGUAUCAGCUACGACGCGGUGAAUACGUUCCUGAGCCUUGUACACACCGCCCGUCACGUCAUGGAAGCUGCUAGUGCCCGAAGUCACCUCGUUUCAGGGGUGCCUACGGCAAGAGUGGUGACUGGGACGAAGUCGUAACAAGGUAGCCGUAGGAGAACCUGCGGCUGGAUCACCUCCUU
rnacentral:rRNA from 11 species